rnacentral:RNase_P_RNA from 1 species
GGGGGCCGGGCAGCCGCGUCACGCAAGUGCCGAGGAAAGUCCGGGCUCCACGAAGCAAGGGUGGCGGGUAACGCCCGCCGGGUGAAGACCCAGGGAAAGUGCCACAGAGAGUAUACCGCCGAUGGCGCCUAAAGCGCACAGGCAAGGGUGAAAGGGUGCGGUAAAAGCGCACCGGGGCGGCGGCAACGUCGUCCGCAUGGCAAACCCCACCCGGAGCAAGGCCGAAUAGGGGCGGCGCGCUCGCGAAAGCGGGCAGGGGUGUUUCGCCCCUAGCGCAAGCUGCGACCGCCCGGGUUGGCUGCUCGAGCCAUGGAGCGAUCCAUGGCCCAGAUGAAUGGCUGCCACCGCGGCGCUGGUCGUUACGAUACCGGUCGCGGGACAGAACCCGGCUUACAGGCCCCCUG